AUUGAACGCUGGCGGCAUGCUUUACACAUGCAAGUCGAACGGUAACAGGCCGCAAGGUGCUGACGAGUGGCGAACGGGUGAGUAAUGCAUCGGAACGUGCCCAGUCGUGGGGGAUAACGCAGCGAAAGCUGCGCUAAUACCGCAUACGAUCUAUGGAUGAAAGCGGGGGACCGUAAGGCCUCGCGCGAUUGGAGCGGCCGAUGUCAGAUUAGGUAGUUGGCGGGGUAAAGGCUCACCAAGCCAACGAUCUGUAGCUGGUCUGAGAGGACGACCGGCCACACGGGGACUGAGACACGGCCCAGCCUCCUACGGGAGGCAGCAGUGGGGAAUUUUGGACAAUGGGCGCAAGCCUGAUCCAGCAAUGCCGCGUGCAGGAAGAAGGCCUUCGGGUUGUAAACUGCUUUUGUACGGAACGAAAAGGCUCUGGAUAAUACCUGGGGCUCAUGACGGUACCGUAAGAAUAAGCACCGGCUAACUACGUGCCAGCAGCCGCCGUAAUAC
rnacentral:rRNA from 1 species